CAUCGCGUCAGGUGGUCACAUGAGUUUAGCUCGCAACAGAGUUUGGACAGCUAUUGUUUUUCCCUCUCCUACUGAUAAAGACAAUGCGGUUGAUAUAUUAUCGAUUAUAUAUUUUAAAAACAACCUGAGGAUUGAUUAUAAAAAGCAUUUGACUUUUUCUGUGGACAUUACGGAUAUUAUUUGGUAUUUGUCUGCGUUGUCAUGACCGCUCUUUCCUGUGGAUUUCUGAACAUAAUGCGCCAAACAAACGGAGGUAUUUUGGAUAUAAAAAUAAUCUUUAUGGAACAAAAGGAACAUUUGUUGUGUAACUGGGAGUCUUGUGAGUGAAAACAUCCGAAGAUCAUCAAAGCACCAACCGUGUCCCACACACAUCCGGCCUCUCCUCACACUCCUCUGGGUCACUGCAGAGGGGCUGGCCUGGGCCCAAAACUCCUCUCUGACCAGGACGGUGUUUCCUCCUGCACUCCUCCCACCCUCAGUCCUCCACAGCAGCACCAGUCUCAGCUCAGACACACUGGGAGACACUGGGGAGUCUGGACUGCUGCUGUCUCCUCCCACUGGAACACAACACACAGCACUGCUCAACACAUUGACUGGAGGUUGGACCACUUUUAUUUUUUGUUGUUGCAAGAUUGUAUUUUAUAUUUUAUAAACAAUACAGCACAUACACAUACAAAUGACAACAUCAUACAAACAUCAACCACAUCACCCACCCCUAUCUCCAGAACCCAUUUUUUGUUUCUCUCCGCACGCACUUUCAAUGUUUAAUACGAAAUCAUUCGAUUUUCCAAUUGUGUCAAUGACGGCGGAUUGAUUGACUUGCCAGUUUUUAGUACACGUUUUGUCAAGAUGAGUGAGAGAGAAGUGUAGAGAAGUGUAUUGUUCAGGCCAUUGUGUAUCUCACUACACCCUCAUAUGCAAUGUCUUGAAAAAUGCAGACAUGCGGAACUUUCUAGUUCUGCCCACAAAUUCUGGAUUUUAUAGCAUUCCCAAAAAGAAUUGAUUAUUGAGUCAUUGUUCGUUUUACACUGCUGUUGUGCUGUCAAAUUUGUGAAUUUUGUCUCUUGUAUAAUAAAUGAUAUACAUGACUUUAUACUGGAAUAAGUGUACAUUUUCAUGAACUGUCAUUUAAUUAGUUUACGCUCCAACUUUCCCUCCAUCUUGUGCCAACAUCAGUUAUUUUCAAGUCUUGGUUCCAAUAGUUUAUAUUUUUUUCUAAGAGAUUGUCAGUUGGAUAUUCUCUCUGCAAGGUUUUUUUUUAUAUCUUCCCUGUCAUAUGAACAAAAUGUUCUGACUCAAAUAGGAUUCCCUCAAGGUUGCUCUGAUGUCCAAAAGAUUUUAAAUCAACAUUUUGUGAUAUGCAACUUUUAAGUUGCAUGUAUUUGAAACUAUCUACAUUGGUCAGUCCAAAAUCACUUUUUAACUCUGUCAUGGAAAUAAAUGUAUUUUCUGUUACCAAGUAAUUCACGGUUUCUAUUCCUUUAGUUUUCCACGUAGACCGACUUAUCAGUGUAUUCUGAAAUUCUAUACAAGGAUCGUUCCAUAAUGUUGUGGUUUUAGGGUUGGACCACUUUAAAACACACAGUAAGCGUCAUCCACAUAAUUAUGUACGUAUUGUUGUCAAAGAUAUGUGUAGGAAAAGCGUGAGAUAAUCAGCAACAUUCAGUCCAGUUUAUUGCCAUCAGAUAAUAAAGUCUGAUUGGUUCUUGAGGCUUGGCUCUGAACAUUCUAGUUCCAAAGAUCAGUGACAAUGACAAAAUCACCAACUCAAACUGAGGAUCAACUUUGAUCAUAGAUCACAUGACAUACUUUACUGUUUGUUACCUGCUGGCAAUAAACUUUACUGCAUGUUGGUGAUUCUGAUGCCAGUAACCCCUCCAGCUCACUCCUGCUAGAUUAACCCCGUCAGCCCAGCCAUUCAGUCCAGCAAACCUCUGGUUACUGGCCCACCACUCUAAUCUUGAUGUUAUACCACCCCCUAGUGCCACUCCCUGUAGAUAAGAAGCCUUUUUCUGUAUUUAUUUUACAUGGAUUUAUUGAUGUACAGUACGUUUUACUAACUUCAUAAGUACUGUUCAAGUAACAAGCAUUGAACAAUAAACAUGUGCAUCACUCAUCCUUCCUUCACUGUAGAGAUAUGUUUCAAGUUUAAACAUGAAACAUACAGUCUGUGCACUUGGAUUGAUUAAAACAUAUCAAUAUUGUGGGGUGAGUACAGUGUCGUUCUCUCUCUGCCCAAUAGUAAACCUUCUCCAACACUGAGUAAAAGUCUCCCUCGUCUUUAGAGUUCUCCGUCUCUGACUCUCCCAGGUCGUCCAGCCUACCUGACACAACACCCCUAACAAGCCUAUCCAUCCUAAAAGUGUGCAGGGCAAGGUCACUAAUCUACCUUGGUUUGGAAUUUUGUUCUAAAUUUCAUCUAAAUUGCAGACGUCCCUCCCCCUCCUUCUCUAGACCCAGUAGACAGGACCAGACGCUGACCGGUGUUCACCAUGACACACACCACAGUUCAGUGGACAGUAGAUCUGAUCUGGUUCAACACAUGAAGCCAACUUGAUGAGUUUCUCCUGACCCAGCCCAACAUAACUCACUAAGUGGAGGUCCCUACAUGCUCUUUCUUCUCUUCAGUGGAGGUUUGGGGUCACUUCUCCCACUGCAACAUACCACAGGACACUGGUCAACAUAUUGACUCAUCAGAGACCCAUUUAAGACGGUUGUUAAAUAAUGUUGGAUCUUAUUUGGUGUCAACAUCAGACAUCAUCUAAGAAUUUUUCCUCAACAGAGAAUAAACAUUAUCUUUCAGA